AACGAACGCUGGCGGCAUGCCUAACACAUGCAAGUCGAACGAGACCUUCGGGUCUAGUGGCGCACGGGUGCGUAACGCGUGGGAACCUGCCCUUAGGUUCGGAAUAACUCCCCGACAGGGGUGCUAAUACCGGAUAAUGUCUUCGGACCAAAGAUUUAUCGCCUUUGGAUGGGCCCGCGUUGGAUUAGCUAGUUGGUAGGGUAAAAGCCUACCAAGGCGACGAUCCAUAGCUGGUCUGAGAGGAUGAUCAGCCACACUGGGACUGAGACACGGCCCAGACUCCUACGGGAGGCAGCAGUGGGUAAUAUUGGACAAUGGGCGAAAGCCUGAUCCAGCAAUGCCGCGUGAGUGAUGAAGGCCUUAGGGUUGUAAAGCUCUUUUAACCGGGAUGAUAAUGACAGUACCGGGAGAAUAAGCUCCGGCUAACUCCGUG
rnacentral:rRNA from 1 species